rnacentral:tRNA from 1 species
GCCCGGUAAGCUCAGCCGGUAGAGCGUUGGACUUUUAAUACAACGGUCAAGGGUUCAAGUCCCUUAACGGGAU